rnacentral:rRNA from 1 species
GAUGAACGCUGGCGGCGUGCCUAAUACAUGCAAGUAGAACGCUGAAGGAGGAGCUUGCUCUUCUGGAUGAGUUGCGAACGGGUGAGUAACGCGUAGGUAACCUGCCUGGUAGCGGGGGAUAACUAUUGGAAACGAUAGCUAAUACCGCAUGACAACAGUUAUUGCAUGAUAACUGUUUAAAAGGGGCAACUGCUCCACUACCAGAUGGACCUGCGUUGUAUUAGCUAGUUGGUGAGGUAACGGCUCACCAAGGCGACGAUACAUAGCCGACCUGAGAGGGUGAUCGGCCACACUGGGACUGAGACACGGCCCAGACUCCUACGGGAGGCAGCAGUAGGGAAUCUUCGGCAAUGGACGGAAGUCUGACCGAGCAACGCCGCGUGAGGGAAGAAGGUUGUCGGAUCGUAAAGCUCUGUUGUAAGAGAAGAACGAGUGUGAGAGUGGAAAGUUCACACUGUGACGGUAUCUUACCAGAAAGGGACGGCUAACUACGUG